rnacentral:pre_miRNA from 1 species
UUUUGGGAGGGAUAGAAGCUAGGGAAGAGGCAGAGCAUGAGAUGGAUCAAUCAACAAUGUGGAUUAUUGGUGUUGUUGCUCCUCCCAUGCACUGCCUCUUCCCUGGCAUCUUCAAUUCCCUUUCAA